rnacentral:rRNA from 1 species
CGCCUUAUACUCCUACGGGAGGCAGCAGUGGGGAAUUUUGGACAAUGGGGGCAACCCUGAUCCAGCAAUGCCGCGUGAGUGAAGAAGGCCUUCGGGUUGUAAAGCUCUUUUGUCAGGGAAGAAACGGUAGUAGCUAAUAUCUAUUACUAAUGACGGUACCUGAAGAAUAAGCACCGGCUAACUACGUGCCAGCAGCCGCGGUAAUACGUAGGGUGCAAGCGUUAAUCGGAAUUACUGGGCGUAAAGCGUGCGCAGGCGGUUGUGUAAGUCAGAUGUGAAAUCCCCGGGCUCAACCUGGGAAUUGCAUUUGAGACUGCACGGCUAGAGUAUGUCAGAGGGGGGUAGAAUUCCACGUGUAGCAGUGAAAUGCGUAGAUAUGUGGAGGAAUACCGAUGGCGAAGGCAGCCCCCUGGGUUAACACUGACGCUCAUGCACGAAAGCGUGGGGAGCAAACAGGAUUAGAAACCCUUGUAGUCCACGUACCA